AAGGGGCAAACAUGACUCAACAACAAACAAAGCAGUUGUUAUAAAUGAUUGGUUAUUCUUAUCUUUAUUUGCUUAGAUAAUGGAUUUCCCUCUCUCACCCAGACUGAUAAUGCAGUGGCCAUUCAUUCAAUCACAGCACUGAUUGGCAUGGAAGCUUUGACCUGCUCCAUUUUCCUGAUCUGGACUGAUGGUUCUCCUCUGAGGCAGGGGAGGUCACGAUUUUAAGCUGUCACUUGUAGUCACUUUGUAGCUGAAAGUUGGAUUCCAAAGUCCUGCUUCUCUCAGAAGGGUCCAACUUGGACUCUCUGAUCCAAUAGAGACUGAAUAAAUAAGAGAUGCUGAGCUGUUUGCUAUCAGGUUGGAACAAAUUGAGGAAUAAUCAGUCCUGUUUGCUGGACUGACGAGACCAUGGAGGGAAACUGGAAGGAUUCACAGAUUCUCUCACUGCCCCUUGCUCACAUUCUGUUGGAGGAGUUUGAAUGGCGUAUGGAGUUUGCCAAGGAUAGGAGGAGUGUUUGAAGAAGUGUUUCUUUUCCAUUUCUACUCAUUCAGGGAUGCCUGUGCCCUGUCUGCCUCUCAGGAAGCCAAGAUCCAUUGGAAAAGGAAAUGGGUGCCCAUGUUGGUGGGCAGGUUGGUGGGAGGGCCAAAAGAGAAAGCUUCCCUCUGGAAAAGGUGAUUACUUUGCAUUUUCUAUCUCAAAUCAUCAUUUACAUGAUGUAUUAACCCAACCAGGUAAUUAAAAUCAUUAACGUUUCCUUUUUGCAGAUUGGUAAUAAAGGGAAAAUAAGUGUGAGAAUCAUCACUCAUCCCUGCAGUCUCAUCAGACAACUCCCCCUCUAUUCCCCCCCCCAAUCUAAAUUCCACCUAAGAAUGGUUUGGAUGACUUCAAGGCCUGAAAAGAGAUAUGUUUUUGUGAUACAGUUCAUGUUACCAAAAUCAAGAGAAUUCUCUAUCUUUAUUCCAUC